UGGGAAAGGACCGCACGA
rnacentral:misc_RNA from 1 species